ensembl:lncRNA
UUCCCCGCCGGAUCCGACACCGGAACAGAUUCUCUCAGGUGACGACAGCUUGAAGAACCAGAGGCGACGGGAGCGGAGGCGGCGGUGGCGGCGGCAGCAGCGGCGUCCGGCUCUGCCUACCUCCCCGCCGCCAUCUUGACGCCCCUCCCCCAACCCCCCCGCCCCACGGGGAGGGGGUGGGGCGACGGAUGAGGCGCCGCGCGCACGCAGCGCGCGCCGCGCGACCCACGUGACUUCCUCCCUCCCCCCAACACCCUACUCCCUAGCACUCCUCUCCGCCCCGCCUCCGUCCUAGGUGAAGGAAGAUGAUUUCCACCCCCCCAUGACUGCCCCCUGCCUUCGCCGCCAAGCACGAACUCCGUCGCUCCCGCCGACCGGGUACCAGUGGUUGGAUCCAAGGGAAUUCCGGAACCCAAACGGUCCAUUACCGCGGCUCCCGGGUGGGCGAGGGGUGAGGGGGCCGGGUUUCCGAGAAGGGGGAGGGGGGGAAGGCGAAGGCCGCCUAGGAGAGUCACGUGUCUACUGCUUCCGCCGGGGCUCGAAAGACGUCGCGAGAGUUCCGUUCCUCCGCCCUUUCGCCCCCGCGGGCUGUCGGGAAGAAGGGAAUUUGGAGAUAGACAUGCAGAAGAGGAGAACAGCAUGUGAAAAUGAAGCCAGAGGUCGGGGUGAUGCUUCAACAAGUCAAGAAAGCCAGCCUGCCGCCAGGAGUUAGGAGAAAAACAUGGAAGAGAAUCUUCCAAACAGUUCCUCAGCAGGAACCAACCCUGCCAGGACCUUGGUUUUGGACUUCCAGCCUCUAGAACCAUGAGGCAUCUGUCUUAUUUGCCACUGCGUCCUUGGGGAAUCGGAC